rnacentral:rRNA from 1 species
ACUCCUACGGGAGGCAGCAGUAGGGAAUCUUCCACAAUGGGCGCAAGCCUGAUGGAGCAACACCGCGUGAGUGAAGAAGGGUUUCGGCUCGUAAAGCUCUGUUGUUAAAGAAGAACACGUAUGAGAGUAACUGUUCAUACGUUGACGGUAUUUAACCAGAAAGUCACGGCUAACUACGUGCCAGCAGCCGCGGUAAUACGUAGGUGGCAAGCGUUAUCCGGAUUUAUUGGGGCGUAAAGAGAGUGCAGGCGGUUUUCUAAGUCUGAUGUGAAAGCCUUCGGCUUAACCGGAGAAGUGCAUCGGAAACUGGAUAACUUGAGUGCAGAAGAGGGUAGUGGAACUCCAUGUGUAGCGGUGGAAUGCGUAGAUAUAUGGAAGAACACCAGUGGCGAAGGCGGCUACCUGGUCUGCAACUGACGCUGAGACUCGAAAGCAUGGGUAGUGAACAGGAUUAGAUACCCUGG